AGAAUAAAAAUCGAGGCGUCGCUCUUUUUUCUAAGGGUGAUCGCGUCGGAAUUGAGCCGUCUUUCAAAUGUUAAUUCAUGUCAAAGUGGCUUAAAAUUCAUCCAUCCGGUACGAUUAAAGCGUAUUUAAGAUCAAUUUUGUUCAAGAACGCGCGAUGACGUACCAUCUCAUGUAGUACGUUUGACUUGGCGUCGUCAGGAUCAUUCGUAUACGAUACUCAAAC
rnacentral:misc_RNA from 1 species